UGAGGGACUAUUGAUGCUUUUGGUAUCAGCAGCCACAGAAUUCAUCAGACACAGCACAAAAGAGCAGGAGAAGAGAUAAUGGCAGAUGCCAGAAGGUUGUCCAGCUGGUUACUACCUCUCCUCUUCACCUGAUUAUACCUGAUUACUGCUGACUCGAUGGGCAGGGAGAGUCGCUGACUCCUGACAGAAAGACUCUGUCACCCCUUGCCAUUUAUUUUAGAUCCUGUGAAUCCUACUGUCAAUGUUGUGACACCUGCAAUGCCUGGGAUGAAGCUGCCCAUGUGGUGAGAUGCAGCCUGUGGAAGCCUCUUUUCAGUGGAGUGAGAGCCAAGCCCCCUUGGCUUUUCAUAGACAAUUGGUGAACGGGACAAGGAGACACUGUCCUUGGAUGUCUGAAAAAAAAAGAAAAAGGUUGCAAAACAUGUUGCCAAUAAGAAUGUUGUAGAUGAAAGGCAGGAUGAAGGAAAGUGGUCUUAAUUUAAAUUCUCUAUUUUACUAAACCUACUCUUUAACAAAUAUGUUUAUGUGAGGCAUCAGAAGCAAAUGUAUUUUGGCUUUUAAGAGAAUUAAAAUUGUUUCCCCUAUUUUUUUAUUUGUUUGCUUUGGUGGCUUUGUGACCAAAAAAAUUGUUUUAAUCCAAAUAGCCACAAUAAAUAAAUAAGCAAAUGAAUAAAAUUCCCAGGUCAUUUGAGAGAAAAGAUUAACUGAAAAGGUAAAGCAUCUCCCCCUUUUUAGUUUCAGUUAAUUAUAGUGUCAGGAUGACUUUUUAACUUACCUGGCAAUCUGGAACCUCAUAGAGUCACUUGCGUUUUCAAAAUUUCCAUGUGAAAACAUGAUUGUGCCAAGUACUCCCUAUUAACUUUUAGACAUCAUCUAUAAAAUCACUACAGGAAAAUAUGGAAAUAUCUGAGAGAUACACAGUGGAUCGCCUCAGAAUAAAUCGUUCCCCAAAUCAUUUUAUGACUGCCUGAGUCGGGACUCAUGGGUCAGAGUAGAGUCAUAGUUAAGGUUUGCAACUGGCUUAGUAGCAAGAGGGGAUAAACAAACUAUCCAGGCUGUUGAACUGUCCAGUUUCGCUACAACUGUAUUUACUUGUUGGGAUCAACUGUUUUCUUUCCUAUUAAGGUAUUAGUAGCCACUGAUAAUGGAAGCCAGGGCCCGCUAGAAAUAGACCAGAGGAAAUUUCCUGACUCACUUGCAUAACAACAGUUCAUCAGCACUGAAGAUAUAUGAAGUGUGACUGCAGAGUAAUGGGAGUGAUUAGGUUUCUCUGCACAACAAAACUCUUACAUACAAAUGAGCACUGUCCCCUUCAGGACAGUCCUCAGGGAACCCGUAUGCUUAUUCCGGUGUGUGAUUGGUCUGGAAGCAUUUUUGGAUGCCCUCUGGACAGAAAGUGCUUUUGGACACUGUUAGUGGUGACAAAGUGUGUCCUUUGAGGAUGGAUUAGAUUGUUGGAAAUGAUACAAUGUAUUCACAGUAUACAUCUGUUGUUUUUGUCUACCCAGAAGCCUCUGUCCAAACUUGUGGUUGGAGAGGCUGUAUUUCUUCUGUCGUUCAUUCUGUCUUUGAAGGCUCUCGAGGAGAAAAUAGCUUUUAAUAUCUCUUGGGAAAUGGCCACAUUUUCCCCUGGCAAUUGAACCCAUGGCUUUCUUGAAUGACUACUCCUCAACCAGGUCUAAGUUGUUUAGGUAGGCUGACUUGACCACCAGUUCCAGAGCACAGACAUGUGACGAGCCUGGCCAUAGUCAUUGAUUCAGGGAUGGACACAUGACUGAAACGGCAUGCUGGCAUUUAGUUCUGGUACUUGGAUUUUAACUGUUGGGAGGAGAAUUUCUCACUCUGCUAUGAUAUAAGCAUGAAGCUACUGGCUUCCACUUGCUGCUACAAAGAGCCUGCUUAAAAAUGGAGCCAACAUAAAAGGAAGCAGAUUUAAGACCUGAGCGAUGAGAGCGUGCACAUGUGUGUAUAUCCACAUAAUGAGACUAAGUCUUGAUUUCUGCACCUUGAUCCAGAUAUACCUGGAGCAGAAACUCUGCUGGGACUCUUUUGUAUCAUGAGCCAGUAACCUCCCUAUUUGCCUAGUAGGUUGAUUUGGGCUUCAAUCUUGCAACCAAGUGAGUCCUGACUAAACCAGCAGAAUGGAGCCAGGUAAGGUUCUUUCUCAAGAAGAGAAGAAGGAAGGUAUCAAGACGUUUAUGACAAAUUUCUACUCAACACUGAGCACCUGCUAAGUGCUGGGCCUAAUAGUCGAGAUGCUGCAAUGAACUAGUCCAUUCAGGAUGCUGAGGUGUUUCAGCCUAGAAGAGACUGCUUUUCUUCCUUUGCUCAUGCAGACUCAGGGGGCCAUUCUCAAGGAGGAGUUAGUGACAGGAAUGUCUUUGGCAAAGACAGCACUCUUGAGUGUGGUCAGAACAUGUUAUUUAUUUCCCAAGAUGAUUAGUUUUUGAAGAAGACAACAAAUAGUUGAGGCUAUGAAUUCUAUCUCUGUAAAAAUAGAGUUAUGUUUUCCUCCUGUAGUCAGAUCUCCUGUGGAACGUGAGUAAACAGGAAUUUCUAUGUAUGGAGCAAGGACAGUAUGGUUAGCACAUAAUACAUGUGUUUAUUUCAGAGCUGGGGAGGACUCCUGACCAGCGUGACACCUAACAUUGGAGUGAAGGGGCAGCAGCCACGUGAAACGGAAUGGGAAAUACUCUUCUCCUACCACCAACUUGGCCACUCUCCAGUGACGAGGUUUCAGAAGCAGUGCAUUUUCAAGUUUCUGCCUCAGAAGAGAUCCAGUUUGGCAUUCUGUCUAAGUUCACUGCACAGAGACGGGUUUGGCUCUGUGAUUCAUCAGAAAUAAGAAAAACAAACACUGUAAAUGGAGAACUUGAAAAAGAGGUGGGCACCAUCUCCCCACCCAAGAGAAUGGAUUUAAGAGGAAAUUUGUUUAUGGGAUGAAGUUUUAAAAGGCGACCUGGAAAAUUUAGCAAAGAUGUAAAUAAACAACUCUUCCUUGGAUUGCAUUAGGCUUCAGAAUAAAUAUAUUAACCAGCUUCAGUCAAAGUCUGCCUAGAAUCUGACCCUGACAAGACCCAGUGACUAGUGCUGCUCCGAACCUUCCCCACCAACAGCAGGCAAUUUUCUCUGUGGCAAAGCUACCUCGAAACAGGCAUCCAGGCUUCCCUCCCACGAAGUGAAGAUGAGAAAACUGAGUCUCAGAAUGGACAAGCUCACAGAUGGCAAGUGGUAGAGCAGACUUCACACAUAGCCAUCUGAGUGAGAUGGGAAGCUGAUCCUCCAGCCCUGAUCAAGCCUUCAAAUGACUGCACCUCCAGCUGACAGAUUACCAAAAGCAACCUCCUUCCAGAAGACCUUGAGCCAAAACCACUCAGCUAAGCUACUUCCAGAUCCCUGAUCCUCGGAAACUGUGCGAGACAAUAAAUGUUUAAAUGGCCACCCACUUUGGAAUAAAGAGGACAUAUAAUUUGCCUAAGGUCACAUAGCACUCUCUAAAUCAGUACAGUAUUUUAGACAAAGCUUCAACUUUGCACUUUUAUGGGUCAUUUUGAUAUAAGACUACAAGGAUAUCUCCUCCCAUGACAAACUUGACUUCAUUUACAACAAAAGGCCAAGCAAGAUACAGUACACUGUGGGGAUAAAUGGUACUCACUGAGGACAGGAAUAUGCUGACAUUAUCUCAAUUUCCUCCUCCCUCCUGUUGUUCUCCUUUGGAUGCUUUCCUGGACUAUAGGGAGAAGGAAAAUAGAGAAAGGCCAACUGCGACUAGGCCAGAGAUCAGAUGUUACCUUGUAGGAAGCAUCUCAUUCUAACCUUAAGUACUCUCUUGAUGAAGUACGGGGCCAAGAGAUUUUGGAAUUCUACCACACAAGGUUGCUCAGCAUUCCAAGAAGUAUUGAUAACUCUUCAAGAGCAAAAGUCAUUUAAAUUAAACUUCUCUGGCCGGGCAUGGUAGCUCAUAUCUGUAAACCCAGCACUUUGGGA
rnacentral:lncRNA from 1 species